AAGUGACUUGCCCAGGAUCACACAGCUAGUGACAUGAAAGGAUUCUUUGUGAAGAACUCUACCCUAUCAGACAAAAGUUGAGAUGGCUUGGCUAGCCCUGAAGAGAGAAGACCAGAAGGUGACAACGAUAUCCAGUAGAUUAAUAUUGAGACCAGCAAAGCAGCAUGUCAGUGGAGACUGCGCAGAGUAAGAGCCCAACAUGCUCGUAGGAGGAAGAGGCAAGAAACUGUGACCCAACAUCACUUGAAAUAAUGAUGCGUCCUAUAGAAGUUUGUGUAGCUGCUUCUGGAG